ensembl:snRNA U6 U6 spliceosomal RNA
GUGCUCACUUUGGCACCACAUAUACUAAAACCAGAAUGAUAUAGAGAUUAGCAUGGCCCCUGCACAAGGAUGAAACAAAAAUUCGUGAAGCAGACCAUAUUUUU